ensembl:lncRNA
AGAGAGUCCCUUGGACAGCAGGGAGAUGGAACCCAUCAAUCCUGAAGGAAAUCAACCCAUAGUAUCCAUCCAAUACUCUGGCCAUCUGGUGUGAAGAGCCGACUCAUUGGAAAAGACCCCGAUGCUGGAAAAGAUUGAAGGCAGGAGAAGGCAGCAGAGGGUGAGCUGGUUGGAAGGCAUCACCGACUCAAUGGACAUGAAUCUGAACGAACUCUAGAAGACAGUGAAGGAAGGGGAUUCCUGGUAUCCUGCAGUCCUGGGGUCACACACAGUAGGAAGUGACUGAGCAACUGAACAACAAUACCUUGGUCAAACUCGGGCCUGGGGGGAGGAAAAUCCUCCCACCGCUGAAAGCCCAUGCUCUCCCUGCAGGCAGGAAGGCUACUGGAGAAACCAGGUUAAAAUCAGAAGCUUCUGUUUCAGAAGCUUUGUUGUCCUCUAGACUGAGCACUGCCAGGCAGGACUGUGUGUGUUCACCUUUGACCCCGUGACUAGGGUUGCUGUGGCCAGGUAGCCGUCAGCCAUAGGAUGAAGUCAAAAGCUGAAGGUAUCUCAACCAAGAAAAUCAAAGAAGCAAACCCAGUGUCUGGACACCCUGACACCGGGUCUUAGUUGCGGCAUGUGAGAUCUAGUUCCCAGACCAGGGAUCGAACCUGGGCCCUCUGCCUCAGGAGCAGGAGUCUUAGCCAGUGGACCACCAGCGAAGUCCCCAUCCUGGCUCUUGAGCUGCCUGACUACAGACCACCUGUCUUGGGGAAUGACAGGUACCCUUACUGCUUCCACUAUUUUGAAUCAGGGUUUCUAAUCCUCGAGGCAGAAAGCUGGCCUAGGAAAGAUGGUUAUACUGUGAGUCCGUGGUGAGUAAACUCUCCUAAGAUCACUGAGUCACUCUAGUGCUGCAGGAAUGGGCGGAUCCGAUUGCCUGAUCUCAGGAGGGCUGGACCCCAAGCUGAAUCAUCACUGCAGUUAAUGGAUUUUGCUCUAAGAGUGGAGAGGAUCUUGGGUGAUUCCUGAGUUUAAACAAAAACAGUCUUCCACCUUCCCCGGUGGCUCAGUGGUAAAGAGUCCUCCUGCCAAUGCAGGCGGAGAAGGCAAUGGCACCCCACUCCAGUACUCUUGCCUGGGAAAUCCCAUGGACGGAGGAGCCUGGUGGGCUGCAGUCCAUGGGGUCACUAAGAGUCGGACACGACUGAGCGACUUCACUUUCACUUUUCACUUUCAUGCACUGGAGAAGGAAAUGGCAGCCCACUCCAGUGUUCUUGCCUGGAGAAUCCCAGGGACAGGGGAGCCUGGUGGGCUACUGUCUAUGGGGUCGCACAGAGUUGGACAUGACUGAAGCGACUUAACAGCAGCAGCAGCAACCAAUGCAGGAGACGGGUUCGAUCCCUGAUAUGAGAAGAUCCCACAAGUCAUGGAGCAGCUAAGCACCACAAAUACUGAGCCCGUGCCCUAGAGGCCCUGAGCCAAAUGGGCCCAUGGGCCCUAGAGCAACCACCACCAAGCCAUUUUCUGGCUUCUCAAGAGAAGCCACCUCAAUGAGAAGCCCGAGCACUGCAGCUAGAGAAAAAGCCUGCACAGCUAUAAAGACCCAGUACAGCCAAAAAUGCAUUACAUUGUUUUAAAGUCUUCAUUUUCAGAAGCAUGAUGUCCGUGUGAGUGCUAAGUCACUCAUGUCCAGCUCUCUGCGACCCCAUGGGGAACUGCUAUUAUGAUGUGGAGGAACCUGAAAUGUGUACAGAGGGUCCUGAGGAGGAAGUGUUGGUGCUUUCCGACUGGCUUUUGAGGUUUUCAUUUUGUGUGAGGAAAGGGGAACUCAGGACUGCAAUUUUCUGUCUAGCAGUGACAUUAAAAUGAUGUUCCCUGAGGCCUCCUGGCCCUUGCCCUGCCGAGGGCCUGGGUCCGGUCCCCGGUCAGGGAACGAAGAGCCCUAUAAGUUGUGUAGCUCGGCUGGUAAAAUAGAAUGAAAUGACAGGGCCAGCAGUGCUUGUGUGUGGGAUGUAUACUUCGGCAAAGGCAUUCUGACAAGAACUAAUACUGUUUCGCAUCAAAAGGAAUGUUAAGCUGCUUUAUACACUUCCUGUGCUGUCCAGUUAGAACAAGAAGCAAGAUCUCAUUCCCACACAGAUUUGCAUCAGAUGUAUUUUCUGAGCUGUAACUACAGUUCCAGCAGAAUUUUUCAGACCUUGAUGCCAAGCGCAAUGGAAACUUCCAUAUUUCAAAAUCUAAUUGGGCAAUUCAGGAGUUCCCAUCCAAACUUCAGUUGAAGAUGAUUAAUCUGCAGUGUAUUCAUAACAAGCUAAAAGGCAAAUUUUCAGAGAAGAAUCUCGGAGGAUUCUACACACACCGUCCCACAGUCUGGCUUCCCCGGUGCCUCCACACGGCAAAGGAUCUGCCUGCAGCGCAGGAGACCUGGGUUCAAUCCCUGGGUCAGGAAGAUCCCCUGGAGAAGGGAAUGGGUACUCACUCCAGUGUUCUGGCCUGGAGAACCCCAUGGCCAGAGGAGCCUGAUGGGCUGCAGUCCACGGGGUCUCGCGGAGCUGGAGCAGACUGAGCGACUCACUCUUUCGCUUUCAUCCCACAGUAAAUAUGCGCCGUUGAAAUCGUGCAGGGAGAAAAAUUUGGAAAUAUAUGUGAAGCAUGGGGGAGUAGUGGUGGAGAACUGCAGGGUGAGAGGGAGAGGAGGGUCUCCAAGGACGAGUCUAACCCAGGCAGUGGCCAAGCAGUGCUCGUGGAGGCCACGCCUGAGGACCAGCGGCCCGAUCAAGUUGGCGCGGUGAGCACACCUGCUGCGUCUCCUACACAGUCAGGCCCCUUCUACCUUAGUAUCUCUGCCAGCAAAGAAUCUAGGGCAGGGAGAAGGGACAGGCACUGUUCUUCCGGGUCCUCAGUAAGACAGCAACCUGGGAAGACCGUCUGGCCGUAGCCAUCACUUGCAGGGCUGGACCAGACGGGAGAAUCAGAAGUCAGUGGGGUGGGGUGGGGCUUCCCUGGUGACUCAGUGGGUAAAGAAUCUGCCUAUCAGUGAAGGAGACAUGGGUUUGAUCCCUGAUCUGGUAAGAUCCCACAAGCCAUGGAGCGGCUGGGCCCGAGCGGCACGACCAUCGUGCCCUGCACUCUGGAGCCCUUCCCUGCAACAGGAGGCACCGUGGAGAAGCCUGCACGCCACAACUAGAGAGGAGCCCCGCUUGCCACAACUGUAGAAAACCGUGCAGCCACGAAGACUCCGUACAGAAAAGUAAAACAAAUAAUUUAAAAAAAAAUUCUCUGGAAAAAAAAAUUAAAAAAAAAAAAUUCUCUGGUAGGGGGACUUCACUGGUGGUCCAGCGGCUAAGACUCUGUGCUUCCAGUGCAGGGGGUGCAGGUGUGACUCUCGGUCAGGGAACUAAGACCCUGCAUGCUGCCUGGCGAGGCCAAAAAAGAGUUGGCGGUGAGUCCUCAGUACAGAGGCAGCCUCAGGGACAGGAACCCUGGCAAGUUGCUCGAAAAGCCUUGUCAAUGCUUUGAGUCUAAACUGUAAUUAUCUUAGAAGAGGAGAGUAAGUACAAUGCUAUCUGGAAACCUGGGGAAGAGCAAGCUAGAGCAGAACCACAACCUUACGUGGCGGCCCCUUUUUAAAGCUUCUUGUCGUUUGUCCGUUCUUUUCCAUUUCAUUACCUCUUAGUAUCUAGGCUGUUUUCUGGGGGGAAAAAAUUAAGCUUGUUUCAGCUGUGCUAAGGAAAAAUAAGAAAUUACUUAAUUAUUUUUAUUGUAAAGAAAUCCAAACAUACACAAAAGUAGAAUAAUAUAAUUAAUAGCUCCCCCCGCCACACACAUACAAACACUUCACAUCUCCAGCUUCAACAAUUAUCAACAAGGCCAUUCUUGGGACUUCCCUGGCAGUCCAGCAGUUAAGACUCCACGCUUCCAUCCCUGGUCAGGGAAUUCAAAUCCCACAUGCCCCAGGCUGCAGCUGAAAAAAAAAAGACCAUGCUUGUUUCACCAUUAUCCAGUCCAGACAGUAUUCCCCACUGGAGUAUUUUGAAGCAACAGAAGAGGUAUUUUGAUUCAUCUUUAAGAGGAAUUUUUAAAGAUGCGAGCAUGGCACUUUUGCAGCAGAAUAGUGAUGGUAUCUGAAAUCCAAACUGGGGGACAGAUUCACCCUAUUCCAAGAUCGGCAUUCCUUUCCGGUGCUAGAAUCUACCUCGGAGGGCCUCAGUUUUCCUAUCAGCAAAGCAAGCAAAAUGGACUAACUUACAGGCAAUAAUUGUGUAACACUGAAAUGAGCCCUGGACUUCAAAAGACCUCCCUGAGUGCUUCUUGCAAAGUAUACAACUUAGGAUAACUUCUCUGAGAUAUAAUUUUGUAUCUUUGAGAUGCUCACUAAACAUUUUUUUUGUAUUUAAUUUUGUAUCUAUA